GCAGCCUGAUCCAGCCAUGCCGCGUGCAGGAUGACGGUCUUAUGGAUUGUAAACUGCUUUUAUACGAGAAGAAACACUGCUUCGUGAAGCAGCUUGACGGUAUCGUAAGAAUAAGGAUCGGCUAACUCCGUGCCAGCAGCCGCGGUAAUACGGAGGAUCCAAGCGUUAUCCGGAAUCAUUGGGUUUAAAGGGUCCGUAGGCGGUUUAAUAAGUCAGUGGUGAAAGCCCAUCGCUCAACGGUGGAACGGCCAUUGAUACUGUUAAACUUGAAUUAUUAGGAAGUAACUAGAAUAUGUAGUGUAGCGGUGAAAUGCUUAGAGAUUACAUGGAAUACCAAUUGCGAAGGCAGGUUACUACUAAUGGAUUGACGCUGAUGGACGAAAGCGUGGGUAGCGAACAGGAUUAGAUACCCUGGUAGUCCACGCCGUAAACGAUGGAUACUAGCUGUUGGAAGCAAUUUCAGUGGCUAAGCGAAAGUGAUAAGUAUCCCACCUGGGGAGUACGUUCGCAAGAAUGAAACUCAGAGGAAUUGACGGGGGCCCGCACAAGCGGUGGAGCAUGUGGUUUAAUUCGAUGAUACGCGAGGAACCUUACCAAGGCUUAAAUGUAGAUUGACCGAUUUGGAAACAGAUCUUUCGC
rnacentral:rRNA from 1 species